rnacentral:rRNA from 1 species
AAUUGAAGAGUUUGAUCAUGGCUCAGAUUGAACGCUGGCGGCAGGCCUAACACAUGCAAGUCGAGCGGUAACAGAAAAGCGCUUGCGCUUUGGCUGACGAGCGGCGGACGGGUGAGUAAUGUCUGGGGAUCUGCCCGAGGGCGGGGGAUAACCACUGGAAACGGUGGCUAAUACCGCAUAAUGUCGCGAGACCAAAGUGGGGGACCUGAAAGGGCCUCACGCCGUCGGAUGAACCCAGAUGGGAUUAGCUAGUAGGUAGGGUAAAGGCCUACCUAGGCGACGAUCCCUAGCUGGUCUGAGAGGAUGACCAGCCACACUGGGACUGAGACACGGCCCAGACUCCUACGGGAGGCAGCAGUGGGGAAUAUUGCACAAUGGGCGCAAGCCUGAUGCAGCCAUGCCGCGUGUAUGAAGAAGGCCUUCGGGUUGUAAAGUACUUUCAGCGGGGAGGAAGGGUUCAGCUUGAACAGAG